rnacentral:rRNA from 1 species
UACGUAGGUCCCGAGCGUUGUCCGGAUUUAUUGGGCGUAAAGCGAGCGCAGGUGGUUUAUUAAGUCUGGUGUAAAAGGCAGUGGCUCAACCAUUGUAUGCAUUGGAAACAGGUAGACUUGAGUGCAGGAGAGGAGAGUGGAAUUCCAUAUGUAGCGGUGAAAUGCGUAGAUAUAUGGAGGAACACCGGUGGCGAAAGCGGCUCUCUGGCCUGUAACUGACACUGAGGCUCGAAAGCGUGGGGAGCAAACAGG